rnacentral:rRNA from 1 species
UACGUAGGGUGCAAGCGUUGUCCGGAAUUAUUGGGCGUAAAGAGCUCGUAGGCGGUCUGUCGCGUCGGAUGUGAAACCUCGGGGCUCAACCCCGGGCCUGCAUUCGAUACGGGCAGACUAGAGUUCGGUAGGGGAGACGGGAAUUCCUGGUGUAGCGGUGAAAUGCGCAGAGAUCAGGAGGAACACCGGUGGCGAAGGCGGGUCUCUGGGCCGAGACUGACGCUGAGGAGCGAAAGCGUGGGGAGCGAACAGG